ACAGAGAAAACAGUUAUGGAGCUCUGGACGGCUGGCAGAAACCUCGCCAAGCCCAAGGCUGAUGGAGUCUGGCAGGAUCCCAGCACUACAGCCCAUAGAUGAGCUUCACCCACCUCAAUUCACUCCCCAUCCACCAAAGGAGAUGAGAACAUGUUUGCAUUGCCCAGCGUCUCGAUGGAGGCACUUCAAGGCUGGAAAGCAGGAGGCAGCCACAGCCCUGACUGAAGAGCAGGAUUUGACCCAGUCUUCAGGAGCAGAGGCUUCCAGUAUCCUGCCAGUGUCAGGUGUGCUGCAGCCAGGAGAGAGCCAGCAGGUC